CCUACGGGUGGCAGCAGUGAGGAAUAUUGGUCAAUGGACGAGAGUCUGAACCAGCCAAGUAGCGUGAAGGAUGACUGCCCUACGGGUCGUAAACCGCUUUUGCACGGGGAUAACACCCUCCACUUGUGGAGGUCUGCAGGUACCGUGCGAAUAAGGGCCGGCUAAUUCCGUGCCAGCAGCCGCGGUAAUACGGAAGGCCCGAGCGUUAUCCGGAUUCAUUGGGUUUAAAGGGUGCGUAGGCGGCGCUUCAGGUCAGCGGUGAAAGACCGGGGCUCAACCCCGGGGCUGCCGUUGAAACCGGAGCGCUAGAAUUCCGAUGCGGUCGGAGGAAUGUGUGGUGUAGCGGUGAAAUGCAUAGAUAUCACACAGAACACCGAUUGCGAAGGCAUCUGACGAAUCGGAGAUUGACGCUGAUGCACGAAAGCGUGGGUAUCGAACAGGAUUAGAUACCCUAGUAGUC
rnacentral:rRNA from 1 species